rnacentral:lncRNA from 1 species
GAAAAUGUCUCACAGCUUGAAGCAUUUCAUUUUGCUGCUUCCCCCUGCACACAGCAGAGACCCAUCCGGGAGGGAGUGCAGCCAGAGUAAGAGGAACAAAAAUUUCUAUCUCAUCAAGGUUUUGAGAAGUUAUUACAGCUGAGAAUGGAAGUCAGCAGUGUUAGGCUCUUGCUGCAGGAGACAACGGAGGAUAUGCUGUGUCAGAAGCAAGUUGCAGGGAGAAGCCAGCAUGGGUCAUAUGUAAAGUACGACAGUUGGAAAUUCUGUGGCCAUCAGAUUUUAUGGCCCCAGCCUCUGCUCUCUGGAGCCUGUCCCCACCUCACAUCCUCUCCUGGCUCACAGCAGGGGAGAGCCAGGCAGGUCCAAGAGCAUGCACCUCCUGCCUGCAUGUCCCUCGCCCCUUGGCUCCCUUAGGGGAGAGAAGGUAUGACAGCUGCAUUAGGUAUGCCAACUAUGUGGUCCUGUGAGCAGGCUGACAGCCGCCGCCUUCUCCUCAGAGGCAUCUCUUAAAGACCGUGGCAAAGAAGGUUGACCAGAGCACCAGUCCUUUCCAUCCCUCUCUCCUGUGCCUGGCUGGGGAAAACUGCAUUGCUGCUCAGCAGGAGCAGCACAACCAGGAAAUGCUGGAAAAGAAGUGUUUCGUGGUUUUGUUUUUUUUUACUUUAAGUCUGAAAUGCACCACUGCAAUACUAUUAACAUCUCUGAAAAAUGUCAGUAUGAAAAUUUAGCAUGGCGUUACUAAGAGUACUACUGAGAAAAGUGUUAGCCAUUGGGCUGUUCUGUUAGUGAAAGCCAUAUGAUUCACUUUGUUCUUAAGCUGAUAUUGUUGCAGUUACAACAGACAAUUUGCAAAUGCCUUGCUGUUUUAUAAAAGCCAAUGUACCCGGAUUCACAGCAGGUACUAAUAUUGUGUGCAUCUGCUGAGCUGUGCAUGGCAUCAACCUGUUUUUAAUUAUACCUGAAUGUCAAGCUCAAAAUGUGUCUGCGAACAGGAAAGAUGAAAAGUAGGCAGAACAGGAUGUUAUGUAUUUCCCAUCACCUUCGACUGUCUGGCCGCCCACAGAAGCAUGAAGAAAUUCCCCUCUUCCACAGUGAAAAUGUAAAGAUUUACUGAGCUUAGCACUGCCAACAAUAAGGUGUAAUCACCACUUCCAUGAGGAAGCACGCACAUAUUAACAGGGGUGAGCAGGGAGCUCUGGUUGUCUUUCUGCACCUUCUUCUUCACUGAUCUGCAAGAGGCCACGAGUUAACCACAGCUUUGUUAUAUUUUAUUUGCAUUGAAAUGUGUGAGCUGGUUGACUCACUAUCCCAACUUCCCUGUAAAAUAAAAUAUGUGGGAGUGAACA